GUGAGUGAGGGAGCGUGAGUGUGUGUUUGUUCGUUCGUUGGUUGCCUUGUGUGCCAAAGGCUCCUCUACUAUAAUGUAAGAAAAAUUGAAGAGCAAAGUGUGUCCUGCAGGAAGCUAAACUGAGAGUGAGUGCUAGAGAGAGAGAGAGAGAGAGAGAGAGAGUAAGAGCGCCAACGUGUGGAGAGUAUAGAGCCUUUGAGGUGAAAUCUAAAGAGGGCCAGGUGGAGAGCGAAGCCAACCAGCCUUUAUAUUACACAUAUUUUGAUAUUUUUGUGAAAAAAUUUUUGUGAAUGAGUGUGUCAAAAACAAUCUAAAUCGUGUGUAGGCAUGGUAUCAUCGACGAGCCAAAUACGACAACAACGACGACGACAACUACGACUAACGGUAAUAAUUACACACAUUCACACUCCUCCUUACCCCAAAAAAGGAUAACAAAAAGGCCAACCGAAACGAAAAGAAAAAAAUAUACAAGAAAGCAAACAGCAAAAAAUACAUGCAAAUACAAAUUAUUCCAAAAAGUGCAAGGCUAAAAUCAAAGUGUAAAAUGGCAUUUUAAUAAUUCUCCUUUCUUUUUCCAAUAUCAUCAUCAUCAACAGCCUGAAAAAGCAACGCGUAGUGAAAAAGUGUAUAAACCCAAUCGAAAACGAAGAAACGAAGAAAUCAACCAGGAAGUCUUUGAAGCAAACAAAUAUUUAUAAGAAAUGUAAAAAUAGAAAAAAUGUGAAUGUGAAAGCAGUUUACCUUUUAUCAUCCCCCCCAUGAGAAAAGAGAAAAGUCAAAAAGAAUUUCAUGUUUGUGCAAACUCAAUGAAACAAGUGUCCAACAUUCCCCAAGUUAACGAAAAUCAUUGCAAUAACACCCGAUGCAAUAACCCCCGUAGAAUCGAGAAUUCCCUAAUCCUUAGCCCAAUAUCAGAACCAGAACCUCGGCAAUAACCAAAGGAAGAAGUUGGAAAAUUUUCUUUACUUUUACCAAAAACGGAGUCAUAUAUCCUUAAAAGAAGAGAAGAACAAAAAAAAACAACAUCGGCUCGACCUACUACCAUAUAUCUUCUUCUUCUAGUUCUUUUUGCUCGACGUUAUUCAUGCAAUCUCCUCCUUCUCCAGCUAUAUAUGAACGAAGAAAGCAGCCAGCAGAGCACCGAGCGAGUUGUAUCGUGAGUGAGUUCAGGUCAAGAGGAACCAUCCUGCAAAUUACCGUCCGGUAACGAUGUGCUGCGCGCUUUCCACAGUUAUGGAAACAUGGUCAACCACAACUUUAUGAAUUUCUUGGAGUCCAGUGAUAUUCUUUCCGAUUAACAGCAAUGAAAAUCACACGAAUCGGACCUCAAUGUUCCAGCCUGUAUGAUACUCACAGCUAUCCCGUGCCGGUCGUCGCAUUUAGUGUGGAUAACAACGUUUCAUCGAGCUUUUUUAACCAUCGAUAUGAGUUCCGACUUGUUCAGCAAAGGUCGGGCGAAUUACCAUAAGUAUAACCGGCUAAUUACGAUAUGCACCGCGCUUUUCAAAGUUAGGAAAGCAUGGUCAACGAUAGUAGGGUAUUCAACUUUAUUGUUUCUUUUCCUCGGAAUGUGGGAAGCGUGAUGUCGUUUUAUCACAACUUUUUUAGUGUUCGUUCCAUGGAGAUACGUCUUCCUAUUCCUGAAGUAAGGACUUUUGUCGGGAUAUACGAUUUUCUAAUAACGUUACAGGGAAACUCGUUUUUUGCCCUGGCUAAUCACUUUUCCACCAACUACGACCUCGAGAA